UACGAAGGGUGCAAGCGUUACUCGGAAUUACUGGGCGUAAAGCGUGCGUAGGUGGUUUGUUAAGUCUGUUGUGAAAGCCCCGGGCUCAACCUGGGAAUGGCAAUGGAUACUGGCAAGCUAGAGUGCGGUAGAGGGUAGUGGAAUUCCCGGUGUAGCGGUGAAAUGCGUAGAGAUCGGGAGGAACACCAGUGGCGAAGGCGGCCUUCUGGACAGUGACUGACGCUGAGACGCGAAAGCGUGGGGAGCAAACAGG
rnacentral:rRNA from 1 species